rnacentral:rRNA from 2 species
UUGCUUCUAUGACGUUAGCGGCGGACGGGUGAGUAACACGUGGGCAACCUGCCUGUAAGACUGGGAUAACUUCGGGAAACCGAAGCUAAUACCGGAUAGGAUCUUCUCCUUCAUGGGAGAUGAUUGAAAGAUGGUUUCGUCUAUCACUUACAGAUGGGCCCGCGGUGCAUUAGCUAGUUGGUGAGGUAACGGCUCACCAAGGCAACGAUGCAUAGCCGACCUGAGAGGGUGAUCGGGCCACACUGGGACUGAGACACGGCCCAGACUCCUACGGGAGGCAGCAUUAGGGAAUCUUCCGCAAUGGACGAAAGUCUGACGGAGCAACGCCGCGUGAGUGAUGAAGGCUUUCGGGUCGUAAAACUCUGUUGUUAGGGAAGAACAAGUACGAGAGUAACUGCUCGUACCUUGACGGUACCUAACCAGAAAGCCACGGCUAACUACGUGCCAGCAGCCGCGGUAAUACGUAGGUGGCAAGCGUUAUCCGGAAUUAUUGGGCGUAAAGCGCGCGCAGGCGGUUUCUUAAGUCUGAUGUGAAAGCCCACGGCUCAACCGUGGAGGGUCAUUGGAAACUGGGGAACUUGAGUGCAGAAGAGAAAAGCGGAAUUCCACGUGUAGCGGUGAAAUGCGUAGAGAUGUGGAGGAACACCAGUGGCGAAGGCGGCUUUUUGUUCUGUAACUGACGCUGAGGCGCGAAAGCGUGGGGAGCAAACAGGAUUAGAUACCCUGGUAGUCCACGCCGUAAACGAUGAGUGCUAAGUGUUAGAGGGUUUCCGCCCUUUAGUGCUGCAGCUAACGCAUUAAGCACUCCGCCUGGGGAGUACGGUCGCAAGACUGAAACUCAAAGGAAUUGACGGGGGCCCGCACAAGCGGUGGAGCAUGUGGUUUAAUUGCGAAGCAACGCGAAGAACCUUACCAGGUCUUGACAUCCUCUGACAACUCUAGAGAUAGAGCGUCCCCUUCGGGGACAGAGUGACAGGUGGUGCAUGGUUGUCGUCAGCUCGUGUCGUAAGAUGUUGGGUUAAGUCCCGCAACGAGCGCGACCCUUGAUCUUAGUGCCAACAUUUAGUUGGGCACUCUAAGGUGACUGCCGGGUGACAACCGGAAGGAAGGAGGGGGAUGACGUCCAAAUCAUCGUUGCCCCCUAAUGACCUGGGCUAUCCACCGGGUUAAAAUGGGAUGGGCCCAAAUGGCUUGCCAGACCCAAG